GUGGCUGUAGCUCAAUGGUAGAGUCCUUGGUUGUGGUCCAAGUUGUUGUGGGUUCGAAUCCCAUCAGCCACCCCA
rnacentral:tRNA from 1 species